GCUGCCAGCUAGCGAUGCAUACUUUAACGGUGAUGAACGUUCUAGCAGUGGGAACUUUGUUCGCAGUGAAUAUUAAAUUCGUGGCAACACAAAAUCUUCAGGAUCAAUGCCCCCUACGCUACAGUGGUCAAGGAUGUCUAUAUCGUGGGCACACAAUACCACGGGGAACAAGCGCAAACUUGCGAAAUCCCUGUGUACAUGCUGACUGCAGCAGCAAUGGACACAGACUUACUCUGACAGGGUGCCAAGACACCGCCGGCUGCAGCUCCACGGCCCCGGGAGGGCCAAGUGCGGAGACUAGAGCAUGGCCUCACUGCUGUGCUAAUUGCCCUCAAGUACAACGACGUUCAUAAAGAUGCUUCGUUGGGGACUGACGGAUUAACUCAACAUAUAUUCAUAAACCGGCUUUUAGGUUACGUGGUAUGGAUGGUGUCGGCACGGUUAUUUA